rnacentral:rRNA from 1 species
AAUUCCAAACGACUCUCGGCAACGGAUAUCUCGGCUCUCGCAUCGAUNNNNAACGCAGCGAAAUGCGAUACUUGGUGUGAAUUGCAGAAUCCCGUGAACCAUCGAGUCUUUGAACGCAAGUUGCGCCCGAAGCCUUGGCUGAGGGCACGUCUGCCUGGGU